UCGUUGGAAAAGUUUAUUUUU
rnacentral:piRNA from 1 species